rnacentral:rRNA from 1 species
CAUUAUUGAAUUUUGAAGGAGCUGUUUGCUGGCCCUUUUACCGGGCAUGUGCACGCUUCGCUCAAUUCCAUCUCCUCACCCCUGUGCACUCAUUGUAGGUCGGUCGGAAGGCCUUCCUAUGUCCUAUUAUAAAUAACCUCAUGAUUGUCGUGGAAUGCAUYGCGUGUAACGCRUCUUUAUACAACUUUCAGCAACGGAUCUCUUGGCUCUCGCAUCGAUGAAGAACGCAGCGAAAUGCGAUAAGUAAUGUGAAUUGCAGAAUUCAGUGAAUCAUCGAAUCUUUGAACGCACCUUGCGCUCCUUGGUACUCCGAGGAGCAUGCCUGUUUGAGUGUCAUGGAAUUCUCAACUCARCUCAUCUUUUAUUAGAUGGGCUGGGCUUGGACUUGGAGGAAACAUUACAUGCUGGCCCUGUGGGGGUCGGCUCCUCUUGAAUGCAUUAGCUGGGACCUCUGUGGAUCGGCUGCUCGGUAUGAUAGUAUUUCUAUGCCGUCGCUGUGAAGCUCUUUUGGCUCGGCUUCCAACUGUCCCGUCCUGGGUACAACAUCUUUGACCUCUGACCUCAAAUCAGGUAGGAUUACCCGCUGAACUUAAGCAUAUCAAUA